UUUCAACAAUCACGCCAGUUACCUUAGCAACAGCAUAACGCGGCACGGUUACUAGGCCCGAACAUACACAUACACACGCACUGGAUCCUCACACGCUCAACAAUAUCACGACGUCGCACACACGAAAUUAAAUCAAAAACCCACCAGAGACUAUACACUUAUCAAUGUAACUAUUAUUCAAACCAUACAAUUAUUCACACUAUUAAUCCACAUAAACUAACCGAUCACAUAACAUUUCAACAAUUUCGUCUCUACGGUCAGUGGUUAUGGUACGGUUAGUGAUUAUUGUACAGUUUAGACAAUUAUGGUUUUAACGUUACAAUAUCAGUUAGUACACAUGCAAGGUUAAACAGUAAUUUUAGUAUUUUUCAUGUAAUAUCAGUAGUUAUGGUACAAGUCAGUGGUUAUGGUACAUGUCAGUGGUUAUGGUACCGUGCGCUAUUUUACACUAUACACACAAUUUACACUCCCACUAGACGGCAGAGCUCAAGCUUUCUAGCAGGACAUACAAUUUAACCAAUUCACCAGUUCACCAACUACAGUAUAUCUAACAAUAUUUACAAUAAUCCCAACUAUUCUAAUUGGACAGCACCUUGAGAACUAUCAAACUAUUUACACCAGGAUUCGGUUAGUCUACGCUGCCCAAGCACCACAUAUAGCGAACUAAUGAGCGGAAUGUACAACAGGACUCAUUUAGUCUAUUUACUCUAUCAAUAGUCUAGUGGUUGAACUUACAUGCCUCCCACUUAGCCAAGAUAAGUUGAGAUCUAGCAGAUGGAAUGUACACCAGAGUCUGCUUAGUCUCCCGGUCCCCCCGACCUAGCGACCACCUAGACACGCUAGUCAUGACAGGACACCGGUGUUGACAUGAACUGUUUACACCAAGAUUCUGUCUAACCCAAACCACCUGUAUUAGACGGGCUGACUACAGAGCGUCUAAUGUCAACAUAAGCGGUGCGCCUUCGCAUCUUCCUUCCAGUGGGAAGGGGCAAAUUCCAUACAACCAAACCAAUUCCAAAUACAAACUCUUUGUGGGCUUACCUCUCUAACGGUAUUAAUCUUACCUCUUCGUUCCUGGACCUGGGCUUCACACUCAUUAACGGGGCACCCCGGUACUCACUGCGCAGAAGCCGAUGAUCUCCUGGACAAAAGGCCAGUGGCGCAGAGACGAAAGGAGGUUCACGCAGAAGUCCAGGGGUGCUGCCGUGGAGAACGUUGGUAAAAGUUUACCGUCUCAAAUCUCUGCGCCAGCUUCCGUGCGAUGAGGUUCCCGGACCCAAUGCACCAAAAAUGUUACCGGAGGAAUAACAGGAACAAACCGCAGAAGCCACACAUAGAGAUAUGGACACAGGUAUUCAGGAAGUAAGAGGCCUUUAUUCACGUACCGAUCGGGUCUCAGAUGGACUAAUGUUCCACAACAGAUCUGAGCCCAGAACACAUGGAGUACAUUCCUUAUAUAGCAAAAUAGCUGCGAGCAUAAAUAGCUACACCCACACAUACCCUUAACCAAUCAAUAAACAGAGUCUGGACUUGCUCAUCCGGUCUGACCACAUGGCUCACCCGAAACAAAGGACAAAGGAGUGUGAUUUCAGUUCCUACAUUCCUGCUCAGUACAUUGAUGACAGUAUCUUAGCUACAUGUAACUAACUAACUGAUACUACAAACACAUGUACCUACAUAUGCUACGUGGCAAUCUUGGCCUACUAAACUUCUAUUUUACUGGAAUUCCAUCACACUAUUACUCCAUAUAACCCUUACUAUAAUCCCUCCUGUUACUCCAUAUAACUCUCCCUAUAACUCCUCCUAGUACUCCAUAUAACCCUCCCUGUAACACCUCCUAUUACUCCAUAUAACCCUCCCUAUAACUCCUCCAAUUACUCCAUAUAACCCUCCCUAUAACUCCUCCUAUUACUCCAUAUAACCCUUCCUAUAAUUUCUCCUAUUUCACCAUAUAACCCUCCCUAUAACCCCUCCUAUUACGCUAUAUAACCUCCCUAUAACUCCUCCUAUUACUCCAUAUAACCCUCACUAUAAUCCAUAUUACUCCAUAUAACCUCCCUAUUACUCCAUAUAACCCUACCUAUAACCCCUCCUAUUACUCCAUAGAACCUCUCCCUAUAACCCCUCCUAUUACUCCAUAUACACUCUGUACUAUGAGAAGGGAACCAGGUCCCUAAUUUUCAAUUAAGACUUGUCAGAUGAGAGACUUCACUUUCUUUCUAUGUGAAGAUUUAUGGUUUAGAAUACAGUAGUAGUGAAACUGUCCAGGAGAAAAUUACAAAUGGCAAACAUGGUACAUUAUUAAUAGUGCAAUAAAUUGGAUAUUGUAAAAAGCGCUAAAAAGACAUUCAGGGGAAAUGGGAAAAAUGAUAUAUAGAAUCCGCACUUACAUGCCGUUUUGAGAAUACAGUAUUGUAUAAAACAAUCAAUAUGCUGCUGCACACUUAAAUGUUGUGGUUCCAGGCUCAAACACACUUAUAGGAGAAUACAAAAGUGAAAGAUAAGUGGAGCGCAGAUGGCAGGAAAACCCACCUAUAGACCUUGAAGUGCAAGUAAAUCAAAUAUGUAUACUUAUAUUUUGUAGAUAAAUCUCGAUGACAUGCAAAGAGAGAAAAAAAAUACAAAAUAAUCGUGCAAUAUGUCAGAGAUAAAUAGAAAUAGACAAAUUUAAUAACAGUGCAGAUGAAAUGGUUAAAAAUGGUUAAAUACUGCUUACGAUAUGGCAGUAGGUGAGAUUUAUGCGGGCAGAGAGGCUCCGCUACUGACAAGCGCUAUAGGUCAGGGAUCUGAGCGAAUUCAGCAGGAUCUGCAGAGAUGAUCUGUAGUUCGGGUGUCCUGCCGGGUUUCCCAAUGUUGCAGUUCCGGAGGUGGCCCUUACGCUGUCCGUGCCUCGCAAUAGUUGUCCAGAUGAACCAUCAAAGGUUCAAUCUGUUCACGGGGUUUGCAGGUACCGCCCACCUUGAUUAUGUUAGUGCGUUUCUUACGUAGACGCGUCUCACCUUCCGGCUUCUUCAGAACGUAAGGAGUAUAGUCUCUACUGGCAGUAGGGAAACUUUAAGGGCAAUGAUGGUUCCGCCCUCAAAUGUUCCUACUGAUUGCAAAUGCAAAGUCCAGCCUUUAUUUAAAGGUGAAGUUAACAAAAAAUAAAUGUCUCUGUUUCAUUUCACUACACAAUUAUACAUUAACAAUUAAAAACAUGUAAAGCUAGACAAAGUUCAACUUAAAAUUAGAAAUCGAAACAUACGAUGAUACAUACUACAAACAGCAUUAAUAAUAUACAAAUGCAAUUAUAUGGUAAGCUCUGUAUGAAGUAUGUACUUUUAACAUAUACAGAGGUAGGAAUAUUUGACACAAUCCAAAGACAUGAUUAAUAUUCUAAAAAAGAAGAAGAUAGAUGUUAAAAACUGUAACAUGGGAACCACUAAUCAGUGUAAUCUACACCAUGCAAUCAUGCAUACAUUUCAAUGUUCAAAUAUGUAAUAAGCUUCAAUGGGAGCAGCAGAGAUGUUAUAAAUACAUAAUAUAAACAAUCAUGGGUUAUGUUAUCCUCACAUUACAAAAUAUCAUUUAUAUAUGCAAAUAUAAAAAAUAUAUAUGAAUUACAAAGAGAAUUUAAAAAAAUGCAUUAUAAAAAAUGGCACAAUUCGAAAUCUUUAUUCAUGCCCUUUGGGAUCAAGGUGUUGAAUUCAUAUAUCAUUUUCAUCGCCGCCCUUCCCAUUUUUUGAUUUAAGUCAUCCACUCUCCAGUUAUGAUGUAUCUUCUGAAUGCCUUUAAAGGACCACUAUAGUGCCAGGAAAACAUACUUGUUUUCCUGGCACUACAGGGUCUCUAGGUCCCCCCCCCCCACCCUCUGGAUCCCCCUCCUGUGAAAACCACAGUGAGAAGCGCAGAAGCGCCUCUAGCGGCUGUCACUGGACAGCCACUAGAGGCUGGAUUAACCAAAUGUAAACAUAGCAGUUUCUCUGAAACUGCUUUGUUUACAGCAAAAAGGGUUAAACCUAGCUGGACCUGGCACCCAGACCACUUCAUUAAGCUGAAGUGGUCUGGGUGCCUAUAGUGGUCCUUUAAAGCGUAAUAGAGAGGGGACCCUGUUGUGAUGAUCUCUGAAGUGAAACCUGAUGCUUUUCAAACUUUCUACUGUUAUACACAUGCUCACCUUUCCUUGUCCUCAGUAGCCUAGAGGUUCUUCCUAUGUAAUUUAAGCCACAGGGACAGGUGAGGAUGUAGAGCACAUUCUUAGUGUUGCAUGUAAUGCAGUCUCCAAUUGUGUAGAUCUUUUCGUUCACCCUAAAUUCUGCAAUAUGUUGUUUUCCUGAGUGGGUUAAUUGACAGGCCCUACAUCUGCCGCACCCAAAAAAACCUGAAAAAUUAGUUAAAAAAAUAUUAUUGGCCUUUUGUGUGUCCUUUUCUUCUCUAAUGAUCCCAUCUGUUAAAACCCUUUUCAAGUUAGGUAAACCCCAAUGUACAAUCUUCGGUUUGUAUGGUAGAAUCUCCCUAAAUACUGGAUCUUUCAACAAUAAUAAUCAAUGUUUAGCUAUGAUUCUACGUACUUGUGCAUUUUGAUUCCCUGAGUAUUGACAUAUAAAUGGGAUUACCUCCUUGGUUGGUUCUUUUGUUUUAUACUUUAUAAGAUCCUCCCUUGCUAUUUGGUCAAUAGAGUUCAUAGUGCCUUGCAGAGUUGAAUCACUAUAGCCUCUGGUUUGGAAGUCCCUAGUGAUUAUUUUUCCCUGAGUGAUAAAUACUGCUUGUUCAGAGCAAUUUCUUUUAAUGCUGACAUAUUGACUCUUAGGCACAUUGUCCAACCAUGGACUGUAGUGACAGCUUGUCCUCUCAAUGUAGCUGUUCACAUCCACAGCUUUGAAGUAGGUUUUAGUCUUUAUGCUGUUAUUCUCGAUGUAGAUGGUAAGGUCCAAGCAAUCUACCUGGGUUUCGCUAUAUUGAAAAGACAAUGAACCCCCCAAUCGUUUUGGUUGACAGGUGCAAUGAAUUCCAAGAGAAGAGAUUCACCUCCCCUCCAUACAAGAAAAAGUUAAUCUAUAUACCUCUUGUAGAGCAGCAGGUUUUUCCCCCAGUGUCCGCCACCGUUCAAAUGACUACUUUCCCAGAAUGCCAUGAACAGAUUGGCGUAGCUGGGUGCAAACCUGGUGCCCAUAGCUGUGCCACGUUUCUGGAGGUAGAAGUCAUUCCUAAACCAGAAGUAGACAUUAUUGAGGAUCAACUCUAUAGAUUCUAAAACAAACUGGUUUUGUAUUUCUGGGUAAUAUGCUAUUUAUAAAAAGAAGGCGGUGGCUUGUAUAUCCAAUUCAUGUUGAAUGAUGGCCUCUGUCCUUCGGGAUUACUUCCCAAUUAUCUCCAGGAUAGAAGACUCUGUGGAACUGGUUUUGGGCAGAAAAGCCAUGCUUCAUUUGGUCACAAUGGACGUUGAUCUAACUUUUGACCCACUGGACCAAUUUGUAUGAUUUUGACGUAUGUUGGUAUUUGGAGUAUGCCGAUUCUGAAAAUGUAAUGAAUGUGAAUGUGAUGCAUACUUUUAAAGUUAUGAAUAUUGUGUAAAACUGUGUAUUUUCCUGCCUGUGAUAAUUAUAAUAACCCAUUGUGUAAGGUAAUUGUAUCACAGGCAGAGGGGAGGAAUUUGUGUGGGAGUGUCUGAGUGUAUUGUACAUGUUUAUUGGUUGUUUUACAAAACCCUGUGGGUGGUACUAAUGUGUAAGAAUGUGUAUAUAAGAACAAUAAACCCACAGCUCUGUCAGUUCUACUUCACCCUCAAUUUGGAGUACCGUCUCUUAUUGGGGGAAUCUGAUACAAGGGAUUGCUGUGCUCUGCAUAUUCCCUUGCUAUAAUCACUCCUAAGCUCUUUUAAGAGCUUGUUCCUGCUUCACUCUCUUGGAUGAGAGGUUCACCCACUGGAGCCCGGAGCCUUGUCAUAGGUCCAGGGUGUGUAAGAGAUGGCGAGACCCCAACUGUGGCAAAACUAGCCACUUAAGACUGUAUUUCCAGUAAUGUGAUGUUGUAACUUUAAGGCUACCUGAACUGAAUAUAUUCACUUGUUUGUAAUUUAUGUGAACGAGAGUAUUCGUACGCUGGCGACAUGAAAGCCACCAGCAUUCAUACAGUUUCACGAACAGUGAAUUUCAACACUGUUCGUGAAAUGAACAAACUACAAAAUAGGAGAUCACACACAGGAGGUCGUGUGGCUCCCAUCAAGUAUCUCAACAUUGUAUAUUUCGGUAGUUAAUGGAUGUUCAGGAUGGCUGCCAUUCGGAUACCGACCACGCGGCGGUCGGCCAUCUUGGAUCCUUUGUUAGCCAGUGGUAUUUUGUCGUCGAGUGCCUGGAACUAAAAUCGGCUACUCGACGGCACAAAUAACGCUGGACUUCCAGGUCGUUCGGGAGCACCGGUCUUUCAGUAUUUCAUCCCUGCUGGUCUAUUCAUGUCUUUGGUGAAAAAUUUAUGUUUAGG